rnacentral:rRNA from 1 species
GAUGAACGCUGGCGGCGUGCCUAAUACAUGCAAGUCGAGCGAACAGACGAGGAGCUUGCUCCUCUGACGUUAGCGGCGGACGGGUGAGUAACACGUGGAUAACCUACCUAUAAGACUGGGAUAACUUCGGGAAACCGGAGCUAAUACCGGAUGAUAUAUUGAACCGCAUGGUUCAAUAGUGAAAGACGGUUUUGCUGUCACUUAUAGAUGGAUCCGCGCCGCAUUAGCUAGUUGGUAAGGUAACGGCUUACCAAGGCAACGAUGCGUAGCCGACCUGAGAGGGUGAUCGGCCACACUGGAACUGAGACACGGUCCAGACUCCUACGGGAGGCAGCAGUAGGGAAUCUGCCGCAAUGGGCGAAAGCCUGACGGAGCAACGCCGCGUGAGUGAUGAAGGUCUUCGGAUCGUAAAACUCUGUUAUUAGGGAAGAACAAAUGUGUAAGUAACUAUGCACGUCUUGACGGUACCUAAUCAGAAAGCCACGGCUAACUACGUG